rnacentral:rRNA from 1 species
UACGUAGGAGGCAAGCGUUGUCCGGAAUUACUGGGCGUAAAGCGCGUGUAGGUGGUGGGACAAGUCUGCUGUGAAAGCGCCUGGCUUAACCGGGCGAGGUCGGCGGAAACUGUCCGACUCGAGGACGGUAGAGGGGGGUGGAAUUCCCGGUGUAGUGGUGAAAUGCGUAGAGAUCGGGAGGAACACCUGUGGCGAAGGCGGCAUCCUGGACCAACACUGACACUGAGGAGCGAAAGCCAGGGGAGCAAACGGG